CAAACGAGUCGCCAAUGCUGCUACAAGUCACGAAUGAUCAGAACGCGAGACACGAAAUUGAGAGGGAAGAAUAUCACCUCACAGCCAAAGAUGGUGAUUUACAUAGCCAAACAGUGCUUUUGAAUGGAAAUGAACUUAAUGUGGAUCAUUUUGGAAGAAUCCCUCUGUUAGAACCUGUAAGAGUAAACCCCUCUCAUCCAAUUUCUAUUGCUCCUCUUUCAAUUGUAUUUGUCCACAUUCCCUCUAUUCAAGUGCCUGCUUGUAGUAUGUAUACAAGAGAGUACAUGUAAGAGUUAUUUCAAUACUUUGAUCAUGAAUUUAUUUGAGUAAUAAAUAAG
rnacentral:misc_RNA from 1 species